rnacentral:rRNA from 1 species
CCCUUAGAUGUUCUGGGCCGCACGCGCGCUUCACUGACGAUGGCAACGAGUUUUUCCUUCGCCGAAAGGUGUGGGUAAUCUUUUGAAACAUCGUCGUGCUGGGGAUAGAUCAUUGCAAUUUUUGAUCUUGAACGAGGAAUUCCUAGUAAGCGCGAGUCAUCAGCUCGCGUUGAUUACGUCCCUGCCCUUUGUACACACCGCCCGUCGCUACUACCGAUUGAAUGGUUUAGUGAGGACUCCUGAUUGGCGCCGCCGCCCCGGCAACGGAGCAGCGGACUGCCGAAAAGUUGUUCAAACUUGAUCAUUUAGAGGAAGUAAAAGUCGUAACA